AAGUCGUAACAAGGUUUCCGUAGGUGAACCUGCGGAAGGAUCAUUACAAAUCCAGUGUGUGUUGAGAGAGAUGUUGAAAUUGUGGUGGGUGUGAGUGGGUGUGGUAGAGACACGUAGUGACAGACAGUGUCCAUUUGGAUACUUUGCUUGUCUGUGUCCAUGUGUGUCUAUCAUGCUAACUCUUAUAUCACCCAAACCCUAACCCUAGUGAUGCAUGUUGUCGAAUGAGAUAUACACACAGAGAAACAGACACACAACUUAUAACAAUGGAUCUCUAGGCUCUU
rnacentral:misc_RNA from 1 species